UAACCUUUGGAAUAGAAAUAAUAGGAUUAAAAUCAACUGGUAUAAAUACAGAUGUAACAAGACAAUAAAACACAGAACUUGGAACCUUCUCCAGAAGAGUGUCUUGGGAACUCGCCUGGCUGGGGAGACUUCUGGAAGAGACUGCAACCACACAUCAAGGUUUGAGCCUUGAGCUGACCUCUUCCUAUUUUUCCUGCUACGGAAAGCCCUGGAUCUGCUCCUUAGGUGAGUGCACGAUUGCCCGUUUGCACUAUUCUAAAGAGAAACAGCGGCCCCAGAGAAGAACGAGAGGGCGAGUGAGCGAGCAAGAGCGGCGCUCCCGGGCCGGCCUGGCCCCCUCUCCUCACCAUCGCCGGCCCUCUGCCGCCUUUCUCCGCUUCCACCUUUUCUCCUCUCCCCCGCAAGUGGAGGCCCUCCGGUGCGGGGAGGACCCAGAGUAAAUUCCCCCAACUCCUUCACCCUCUACCUGCACCUGGCCACCGUGUGAGGAGAAGGCCUGGCCUUGCCCCGCCCGCGUCGUGUGUGAGGCUCAGCUGCCACUGCCGCUGCCGCCGUGAUGGCCAGCUCCCAGAAGGCCCUGAUGCUGGAGCUCAAGUCCCUGCAGGAGGAGCCGGUGGAGGGCUCCCGGAUCACCCUGGUGGAUGAGUCCGACCUCUACAACUGGGAGGUUGCCAUCUUCGGACCCCCCAACACCCUCUACGAAGGCGGCUACUUCAAGGCGCAUAUUAAAUUUCCUAUUGACUACCCAUAUUCACCACCUACCUUCAGAUUCUUGACCAAAAUGUGGCACCCCAACAUUUAUGAGAGUGGACAUGUAUGCAUUUCAAUUCUUCAUCCACCCGUAGAUGCCCCACAGAGUGGUCAACUGAACUCCGAAAGGUGGAAUCCUACUCAGAAUGUCAGGACUAUCCUGCUAAGUGUAAUCUCAUUGCUUAAUGAGCCCAACAUCUUCUCCGCAGCCAAUGCGGAUGCUUCAGUUAUGUUCAGGAAAUGGAGGGACAGUAAAGGAAAAGACAAAGAAUAUACUGAAAUCAUUAGAAAACAGGUUUCAGCCACUAAAGCCGAAGCAGAAAAGGAUGGAGUGAAAGUCCCCACGACCCUGGCGGAAUAUUGCAUCAAAACUAAAGUGCCUUCCAAUGACAACAGCUCAGAUUGGCUUUAUGACGACUUGUACGACCUUGACAUUGAGGAUGAAGAGGAGGAGGAGGAAGAUGCCGACUGUGAUGACCAUGAUGAUUCUGGGAAUGAGGAGUCGUGACCUGCUCCUUCGAAGCCCCUGUACUGCCCUGCCAUCUCAGGCCAAAGGGAGGGGAGCAAGUGGGGACCUAGCAGUGGCCCCUCAGCAAAACCCUUCACAGGGGGUGGGGAAAACAAACAUGGCUUCUGCUGACUCCCCUCACGGAUCUCAGUUGGCUCCUUUUUAUGGACCUCUUAAUGGAGAGAAGGUAAUUGUGAACGAAAGGGGCCACAUGCUGACCUGACAAGCUCAGGGGAGGCCUGCAUGGCAGUCUUACAAACUCAGAGACUUAAAGUAACCACAGAGGAUGGUCUGAAAUUAAACUUUAA